rnacentral:rRNA from 1 species
UUAAGCUACUAAGAGCACACGGAGGAUGCCUAGGCGCUAGGAGCCGAAGAAGGACGUGGCGAACAACGAUACUGCCUCGGGGAGCUGUAAGCAAGCUUCGAUCCGGGGAUGUCCGAAUGGGGAAACCCAGCUAGUGUAAUAGCUAGUUACCCGUAUCUGAAUACAUAGGAUGCGAGGAGGCAUACCCAGGGAACUGAAACAUCUAAGUACCUGGAGGAAGAGAAAACAAGAGUGAUUCCGUCAGUAGCGGCGAGCGAACGCGGAACAGCCUAAACCAGAGAGCUUGCUCUCUGGGGUUGUGGGACGUCUCACAUGGAGUUACAAAGGAAUGUAUUAGGCGAAGAGGUCUGGAAAGGCCCGCUAUAAGAGGUAAAAGCCCUGUAGCCGAAAGUAUAUUCCCUCCGAGACGGAUCCCGAGUAGUGCGGGGCACGUGAAACCCCGUAUGAAUCCAGCAGGACCAUCUGCUAAGGCUAAAUACUCCCUAGCGACCGAUAGUGAAGCAGUACCGUGAGGGAAAGGUGAAAAGCACCCCGGAAGGGGAGUGAAAUAGAACCUGAAACCGUGUGCUUACAAGAAGUCAGAGCCCUAUUUAUGGGUGAUGGCGUGCCUUUUGUAGAAUGAACCGGCGAGUUACGUUCCCAUGCAAGGUUAAGGCGAGAAGCCGUAGCCGCAGCGAAAGCGAGUCUGAAUAGGGCGACUUAGUAUGUGGGCGUAGACCCGAAACCGUGUGAUCUACCCCUGUCCAGGGUGAAGGUGCGGUAACACGCACUGGAGGCCCGAACCCACGUAUGUUGAAAAAUGCGGGGAUGAGGUGGGGGUAGCGGAGAAAUUCCAAUCGAACUCGGAGAUAGCUGGUUCUCCCCGAAAUAGCUUUAGGGCUAGCCUCGGAAUGAAGAGUCGUGGAGGUAGAGCACUGAUUGGGUGCGGGGCCCGCAAGGGUUACCAAGCUCAGUCAAACUCCGAAUGCCAUAGACUUAUAUCCGGGAGUCAGACAGUGAGUGCUAAGAUCCAUUGUCAAAAGGGAAACAGCCCAGACCAUCAGCUAAGGUCCCCAAGUGUGUGUUAAGUGGGAAAGGAUGUGGAGUUGCACAGACAACCAGGAUGUUGGCUUAGAAGCAGCCACCAUUUAAAGAGUGCGUAAUAGCUCACUGGUCGAGUGACUCUGCGCCGAAAAUGUAACGGGGCUAAACACACCACCGAAGCUAUGGCUUGAUGCGUAUGCAUCAGGGGUAGGGGAGCGUUGUAUGUAGGUUGAAGGUGUACCGUAAGGAGCGCUGGACAGCAUACAAGUGAGAAUGCCGGUAUGAGUAACGAAAAGAUCAGUGAGAAUCUGAUCCGCCGAAAGCCCAAGGUUUCCUGAGGAAGGCUCGUCCGCUCAGGGUAAGUCGGGACCUAAGGUGAGGCCGAAAGGCGUAAUCGAAGGACAACAGGUUGAAAUUCCUGUACCACCGUAAACCGUUAUGAACGAUGGGGUGACGCAGGAGGGUAGUGACGCGGACUGAUGGAUGUCCGUCCAAGCAGUGAGGCUGAUGUGUAGGCAAAUCCGCACAUCGUAAGGCUGGGCUGUGAUGGGGAGUGAAAAUUAUAGUAGCGAAGGUCAUGAUCUCACACUGCCAAGAAAAGCCUCUAGUCAGGUGAAGGUGCCCGUACCGCAAACCGACACAGGUAGGCGAGAAGAGAAUUCUAAGGCGCGCGGAAGAACUCUCGUUAAGGAACUCGGCAAAAUGACCCCGUAACUUCGGGAGAAGGGGUGCCUCGGUAGGGUGAAUAGCCCGAGGGGGCCGCAGUGAAAAGGCCCAAGCGACUGUUUAGCAAAAACACAGGUCUGUGCGAAGCCGUAAGGCGAAGUAUACGGGCUGACGCCUGCCCGGUGCUGGAAGGUUAAGGGGAGCGGUUAGGAGCAAUCCGAAGCUGUGAACCGAAGCCCCAGUAAACGGCGGCCGUAACUAUAACGGUCCUAAGGUAGCGAAAUUCCUUGUCAGGUAAAUUCUGACCCGCACGAAUGGCGUAACGACUUGGGCGCUGUCUCAACGAGAGAUCCGGUGAAAUUUUAAUACCUGUGAAGAUGCAGGUUACCCGCGACAAGACGGAAAGACCCCAUGGAGCUUUACUGCAGCUUGAUAUUGGAUUUGGGUACGAUCUGUACAGGAUAGGUGGGAGCCUUUGAAGCAUGAGCGCCAGCUUGUGUGGAGGCGACGUUGGGAUACCACCCUGAUCGUAUCUAGGUUCUAACCUGGUACCGUGAUCCGGUACGGGGACAGUGUCAGGCGGGCAGUUUGACUGGGGCGGUCGCCUCCUAAAGAGUAACGGAGGCGCCCCAAGGUUCCCUCAGAAUGGUUGGAAAUCAUUCGAAGAGUGCAAAGGCAUAAGGGAGCUUGACUGCGAGACCUACAAGUCGAGCAGGGACGAAAGUCGGGCUUAGUGAUCCGGUGGUACCGCAUGGAAGGGCCAUCGCUCAACGGAUAAAAGCUACCCUGGGGAUAACAGGCUUAUCUCCCCCAAGAGUCCACAUCGACGGGGAGGUUUGGCACCUCGAUGUCGGCUCAUCGCAUCCUGGGGCUGAAGUAGGUCCCAAGGGUUGGGCUGUUCGCCCAUUAAAGCGGUACGCGAGCUGGGUUCAGAACGUCGUGAGACAGUUCGGUCCCUAUCUGUCGUGGGCGUAGGAAAUUUGAGAGGAGCUGUCCUUAGUACGAGAGGACCGGGAUGGACGUACCGCUGGUGCACCAGUUGUUCCGCCAGGAGCAUGGCUGGGUAGCUACGUACGGACGGGAUAAGCGCUGAAAGCAUCUAAGCGUGAAGCCCCCCUCAAGAUGAGAUUUCCCAAUUCGUAAGACCCCUUGAAGACGACGAGGUAGAUAGGUUGGAGGUGGAAGUGCAGCAAUGCAUGGAGCUGACCAAUACUAAUCGGUCGAGGGCUUAUCCAA